CACGUAGGGUGCGAGCGUUGUCCGGAAUUAUUGGGCGUAAAGAGCUCGUAGGCGGUGUGUCGCGUCGGCCGUGAAAACCUGGGGCUUAACUCUGGGCGUGCGGUCGAUACGGGCAUCACUGGAGUUCGGCAGGGGAGACUGGAAUUCCUGGUGUAGCGGUGAAAUGCGCAGAUAUCAGGAGGAACACCGGUGGCGAAGGCGGGUCUCUGGGCCGAUACUGACGCUGAGGAGCGAAAGCAUGGGUAGCGAACAGG
rnacentral:rRNA from 1 species